rnacentral:rRNA from 1 species
AGCAGCCGCCGCGGUAAUACAGAGGGUGCGAGCGUUAAUCGGAUUUACUGGGCGUAAAGCGUGCGUAGGCGGCUUCUUAAGUCGGAUGUGAAAUCCCUGAGCUUAACUUAGGAAUUGCAUUCGAUACUGGGAAGCUAGAGUAUGGGAGAGGAUGGUAGAAUUCCAUGUGUAGCGGUGAAAUGCGUAGAGAUCUGGAGGAAUACCGAUGGCGAAGGCAGCCAUCUGGCCUAAUACUGACGCUGAGGUACGAAAGCAUGGGGAGCAAACAGGAUUAGAUACCCCUGUAGUCCCUGUCUCUUAUAC